rnacentral:tRNA from 3 species
GCGGUUGUAGUUUAGUUGGUUAGAAUGCCUGCCUGUCACGCAGGAGGUCGAGGGUUCGAGUCCCUUCAACCGCG